rnacentral:rRNA from 1 species
AUACGUAGAGGGCGAGCGUUAUCCGAAUUCACUGGGCGUAAAGCGCAUGCAGGCGGCCGCACAAGUUGGAUGUGAAAUCUCCCGGCUCAACUGGGAGGGGACGUUCAAAACUGUGCGGCUCGAGGGCGGUAGAGGAAGGUAGAAUUCCCGGUGUAGUGGUGAAAUGCGUAGAUAUCGGGAGGAAUACCCGUGGCGAAGGCGACCUUCUGGGCCGUUUCUGACGCUCAGAUGCGAAAGCUAGGGGAGCGAACGGGAUUAGAAACCCCGGUAGUCCUAGCCGUAAACGAUGUCGACUGGGCGUGGGUGGGGUAAAAGCCAUCCGUGCCGAAGCUAACGCGUGAAGUCGACCGCCUGGGGACUACGGCCGCAAGGUUAAA